UUCCAGACUCCUACGGGAGGCAGCAGUGGGGAAUAUUGCACAAUGGGGGGAACCCUGAUGCAGCGACGCCGCGUGAGCGAUGAAGUAUUUCGGUAUGUAAAGCUCUAUCAGCAGGGAAGAAGAUGACGGUACCUGACUAAGAAGCCCCGGCUAACUACGUGCCAGCAGCCGCGGUAAUACGUAGGGGGCAAGCGUUAUCCGGAUUUACUGGGUGUAAAGGGAGCGUAGACGGCGAUGCAAGCCAGAUGUGAAAGCCCGGGGCUCAACCCCGGGACUGCAUUUGGAACUGUGUGGCUGGAGUGUCGGAGAGGCAGGCGGAAUUCCUAGUGUAGCGGUGAAAUGCGUAGAUAUUAGGAGGAACACCAGUGGCGAAGGCGGCCUGCUGGACGAUGACUGACGUUGAGGCUCGAAAGCGUGGGGAGCAAACAGGAUUAGAUACCCCCGUA
rnacentral:rRNA from 1 species